ACGGGAGGCAGCAGUGAGGAAUAUUGGUCAAUGGACGGAAGUCUGAACCAGCCAAGUCGCGUGCAGGAUGACGGCCCUAUGGGUUGUAAACUGCUUUUAUAUGGGGGUAAAAAACGGUACGUGUACUGUCUUGCAGGUACCAUAUGAAUAAGGACCGGCUAAUUCCGUGCCAGCAGCCGCGGUCAUACGGAAGGUCCAGGCGUUAUCCGGAUUUAUUGGGUUUAAAGGGAGCGUAGGCGGCUUGUUAAGCGUGGUGUGAAAUGUAGAUGCUCAACAUCUGAAUUGCAGCGCGAACUGGCUGGCUUGAGUGCGCAGGUAGUUGGCGGAAUUCGUCGUGUAGCGGUGAAAUGCUUAGAUAUGACGAAGAACUCCGAUUGCGAAGGCAGCUGACUGGAGCGUAACUGACGCUGAAGCUCGAAAGUGCGGGUAUCGAACAGGAUUAGAUACCCUGGUA
rnacentral:rRNA from 1 species